CUUAAAACUAGUAGUAUUGGCUCUUUGUCCACAUAAAAUCUAUUUGCAUCUGCACUUGCCUUUUUUUCUUUUGGACUUUAGUGUAUAUUGUCUAACCCUUCAUGUUCCAUGACAAGAAAAAGAGAGAAUAAAAAGGGAAAGAGAGCUAGCUAGUCACAACCAAGUACUUCAAAACCCACAAGGCCACAACUCUCUUUCAAGCCCUUCCUUCAGGUGAUUAUAGUUUAAAAAAAUGGAGGAUCACUGCAGUCCUCUUAGCUUGGCUUAUUUCUACCAAGAUGAGGGUAUUGAAGAGUUGAGAUAUUGUCUCUUGUACAUAACAGAGCUAGAGGCAACAAUUUUUUCGGCUAAGGAGGAGAUUGCAAGAAGAGAAGUUGAGAUGGUUCAUCUCAAAGAUCUUUUAAGCAAGGCUAUUGCAGAAAGAAAUGAAGCCCAAGUAGAAUGCCAAAAGCUAAUGUCUGAAAAAAUUGCUCUCCAGCAACUAGUUCUUAAAAAACAGAAGGAGCCUCAAAAUCUGCAGAAUCGGCAGCAGCUACUGCUAAAAGAAGAAAUUCAAAACCUCAAACGAGAAACUCCUCCUCCACUCUCUGGAUCUUCUAGCAGUGAAAAUGGUGACUCCCACAAUCACAUAGCCCCUCUUGGUCCUUGCAAAAUCAUAGUUUCUUCACAGUUUAGUGACCCAAUUCACCAGCAACCAGUGCCUGAAGUGAUACAAAAAUUAGCAGCAGAUAGGCCAUUGCCUGAGAAAGGGAAGCUUCUGCAGGCAGUGAAGGAAGCUGGACCUUUGUUGCAGACCCUUCUACUGGCUGGACCUCUCCCUCAAUGGCAGCACCCACCUCCACAACUAGACUCCAUUGAGAUCCCACCUGUGACCAUUUCUCCGGCAGCUCGAUUAAUUUACCAAGACUCUUUCAACAAUUUGAGUGCUUGUUUGAGCAAGAAGAGGGGUCUGGACCUCUGUGAGUCAGGUCCUGAUUCUUCUUCUCCUAAAACCAAGCAUCAAAAGCUUGCUCUCCAUUGACCAGAACUUAGACAUAAAAUUUCUAGUAUAUAUCCAUAUAUAUGCCCAUCCUUUUAAUUCUGUUACACAUUGAUAAGGUAAUCAGAAUGAAAUGAAUGGCUAGAUAGCUAAUAGCUAUCAUGUUUAAGUCCGAAAAAUUUUGAUCUAUUUUUCUCUUAGAAUGGAAAAUUCUAACUUCUCUAGCAUGUCAGAUUGAGACUUGAUUAUGCAAAAUGUGAAAAUGUAUUCUGAAUUUCUCCAAAA
rnacentral:misc_RNA from 1 species